AUUGAACGCUGGCGGCAGGCCUAACACAUGCCAGUCGAGCGGAUGAAGGGAGCUUGCUCCUGGAUUCAGCGGCGGACGGGUGAGUAAUGCCUAGGAAUCUGCCUGGUAGUGGGGGAUAACGUCCGGAAACGGGCGCUAAUACCGCAUACGUCCUGAGGGAGAAAGUGGGGGAUCUUCGGACCUCACGCUAUCAGAUGAGCCUAGGUCGGAUUAGCUAGUUGGUGGGGUAAAGGCCUACCAAGGCGACGAUCCGUAACUGGUCUGAGAGGAUGAUCAGUCACACUGGAACUGAGACACGGUCCAGACUCCUACGGGAGGCAGCAGUGGGGAAUAUUGGACAAUGGGCGAAAGCCUGAUCCAGCCAUGCCGCGUGUGUGAAGAAGGUCUUCGGAUUGUAAAGCACUUUAAGUUGGGAAGAAGGGCAGUAAGUUAAUACCUUGCUGUUUUGACGUUACCAACAGAAUAAGCACCGGCUAACUGCGU
rnacentral:rRNA from 1 species